ACGGGUGAGUAAUGUCUGGGAAACUGCCUGAUGGAGGGGGAUAACUACUGGAAACGGUAGCUAAUACCGCAUAACGUCGCAAGACCAAAGAGGGGGACCUUCGGGCCUCUUGCCAUCAGAUGUGCCCAGAUGGGAUUAGCUAGUAGGUGGGGUAAUGGCUCACCUAGGCGACGAUCCCUAGCUGGUCUGAGAGGAUGACCAGCCACACUGGAACUGAGACACGGUCCAGACUCCUACGGGAGGCAGCAGUGGGGAAUAUUGCACAAUGGGCGCAAGCCUGAUGCAGCCAUGCCGCGUGUGUGAAGAAGGCCUUCGGGUUGUAAAGCACUUUCAGCGAGGAGGAAGGUGGUGAGCUUAAUACGCUCAUCAAUUGACGUUACUCGCAGAAGAAGCACCGGCUAACUCCGUGCCAGCAGCCGCGGUAAUACGGAGGGUGCAAGCGUUAAUCGGAAUUACUGGGCGUAAAGCGCACGCAGGCGGUUUGUUAAGUCAGAUGUGAAAUCCCCGGGCUCAACCUGGGAACUGCAUUUGAAACUGGCAAGCUAGAGUCUCGUAGAGGGGGGUAGAAUUCCAGGUGUA
rnacentral:rRNA from 1 species